rnacentral:rRNA from 1 species
ACAAACUCGUAUGUAAAAGAAUGUAGAUCUAGUGCGUAAGCACGAAAUAAACAACUUUCAACAACGGAUCUCUUGGCUCUCGCAUCGAUGAAGAACGCAGCGAAAUGCGAUAAGUAAUGUGAAUUGCAGAAUUCAGUGAAUCAUCGAAUCUUUG